rnacentral:rRNA from 1 species
UACGAAGGGGGCUAGCGUUGCUCGGAAUCACUGGGCGUAAAGCGCACGUAGGCGGAUUGUUAAGUCAGGGGUGAAAUCCUGGAGCUCAACUCCAGAACUGCCUUUGAUACUGAAGAUCUUGAGUCCGGGAGAGGUGAGUGGAACUGCGAGUGUAGAGGUGAAAUUCGUAGAUAUUCGCAAGAACACCAGUGGCGAAGGCGGCUCACUGGCCCGGUACUGACGCUGAGGCACGAAAGCGUGGGGAGCAAAGCAGG